CUUGAAACACGGACCAAGGAGUCUAGCAUGUGCGCGAGUCAUUGGGAAUCACUAAACCUAAAGGCGCAAUGAAAGUGAAGGCCCGCCCAGCGCGGGCCGAGGGAAGAUGGGCGGUUACGGUCUCCGUGCCGCUCCGCACUCCCGGGGCGUCUCGUUCUCAUUGCGAGAAGAGGCGCACCAAGAGCGUACACGCUGGGACCCGAAAGAUGGUGAACUAUGCCUGGUCAGGACGAAGUCAGGGGAAACCCUGAUGGAGGUCCGUAGCGAUUCUGACGUGCAAAUCGAUCGUCGGAACUGGGUAUAGGGGCGAAAGACUAAUCGAACCAUCUAGUAGCUGGUUCCCUCCGAAGUUUCCCUCAGGAUAGCUGGCGCUCGUCGCCUACGAGUCUCAUCCGGUAAAGCGAAUGAUUAGAGGCAUUGGGGUCGAAACGGCCUCAACCUAUUCUCAAACUUUAAAUGGGUGAGAUCUCCGGCUUGCUCGAACUUAUGAAGCCGCGAGACACGGAUCAGAGUGCCAAGUGGGCCAUUUUUGGUAAGCAGAACUGGCGCUGUGGGAUGAACCAAACGCCGAGUUAAAGCGCCUAAAUCGACGCUUAUGGGAUACCAUGAAAGGCGUUGGUAACUUAAGACAGCAGGACGGUGGCCAUGGAAGUCGGAAUCCGCUAA
rnacentral:rRNA from 1 species